AAAGAAAUUUAAUAAAAGGUCAAUAAAAGGUAAACAAAGGGCUAGCAAAAGGUACUUCUAUGUUUUGUUAAAACCUUUUAUUAGCCUUUCAUUUAACAAAAUACUAACAAAAGACUAUUAAGAAUUUUGUGAGUAAUACAUUUUGUUUACCUUUUGUUUCAGAUACUGCCUUUUAUUAAUGUUUCAUUACACUUAUAAUUUGAAAUUUACCUUUUAUUAGCAUUGGAUUGGACUUAUAUUCUUAAAUGUUGCCAUUUGUUUGUAUUUCAUUCCACUUAGAAUCAACACUUACAUAUUUUGUUUGUAUUUCAUUACACUUGCUUUCAAAAACAAGAAGUUUUGUUCAUAUUUCAAUACAUUUGUAGGUUUGGACGACUUGUUUCACAAAAUCUAGCAUAAACAAAUUAGUUUCAUAUUUCAUUGAUAUUGGCUAAAUACUGCUGCUGCUGUUUUGAAUUUAGAGCUACAUCUACCAUUCACUAUGUUCUUCAUUUACAUAAUUACACUUCUGACGAUUGCAAAGGUUUGUCAGUAAGUAAAUGGCUACUGAGCACUUGCAAAUGCAUAAUAUUCUUUAUCAUACAUAAUCAGCUUUAAGAGAGACAGUCUGUAAACAGAGACCACUUAAAAAAAUAAUUAAAACUUCUCCUGAAAAAACAAUUCCAAUGUUUUUUCUCAUUCCAUAGAAUUCCUUAGAAUUCUUUAAGAUAAUGCAAAGUUUUCCUAGUAAGAUUUUUUUUUUCAUUUAAAUUGCAGCAAAGAUUACAUUGAAAAUCUUAAGAUUUGUUUGGAUUAUACUAGGUAUCCAAAUUAAUUGAAAUAAAACAAGGAAUCUAACUAAUUAAAAUUUAUGUCAAUGUUUUCAUUUUGUAUAUUAAAAGGAUGUUAAUUAGAAUUCUAUCAUUUUAUUUAUAAUUAAUAUAACAAGAUAUAUCAUUGAAAAUAGGUCCUAUUUAUAAAUUAUAUAAGCUAUUUAUUUUUUGGUUAUUGAACACCUCAAGCAACAGCACCAGAUAAUAGGCAUUAAAAGUCAUUUCAUAAGUACGACAAAUUUUGAUAUAAUGCUACAUCCUCAUAAAUGAAUUAGUCUAUUCUUUUGAUGAUUGGCAAUGAUUAAUUAUCCUGCUUUUACAGCCACUUGAUAUACUGCUGUUCAAUGUAUACACAUGUGUUAACACACAGAGAUACAGCUUAUCUGAUCAAGAUAAGGACCAAUGAAAAUACAGGCUUCUGAACCAUUUUACACCUGGCACCAAAAAAUAAUCCCCAUCUUUCUGCUUGUUUUUUUUUUCUCUGAGAUCUUUGCAAAUGCUGUGAGCAAAUAAAUGGUCAAAUUUUCCCAUGAACUGUAUACUUAUAUAUUUUAAGAACAUAGAUAUUCCCUUCAGUAACUAUAUAUUGUACCAAAGAAAAUGGCUCAUGAAUACAAAAAUUUGAAUGUAAACAGGAAGUUCGUUGUUCAUGUUGUUGGAGGCAAAUGGAAUAAAGCUAACUUGAAACUCUAAAAUGCAUUUAGAGAGAUAUCAGGUAAGAGUUUUAAACUUUCUAAUAUAAAAUUAAGUUUUACAGCUAUAUGUCACAGAUCUUGAAUAAAUAGUCUGAAGCAGGAACUUUAUUCAUCUCAGUAGAUUGAAAUUUCGAUCGCCUGGUUACAGGUAACUUUUACAGGUAUAUGUGAAUGAUAGAUAAUUUAUAAUGCUUCUAAGAAAACAGUUAAAUAUUAAAUACUUAAUUGUUGCAGUUCUCAAUUAUUUUUUUUUAAAAAGUACAAAUAUGUUAGUAAAAUCACUCUGAACCUAGGACUUACAACAGCCUCUAAACAUUUUCAGAUGAAAGAGUGUGCAUAUAUCUUGUUAUUAGAGGUAUAUGCCUAUAUGUAUGAAUUGAUGUAGUUGGAGAAAUCAGAUCGCUUCAGUGCAUGACUAUGCUACAGGAUGAUACAAGAUCACAGACAGAAAUUCGAUCAAGGAUCAAACAUAAAUUACAUAAUACUUCAACUAAAUUAAAUGCAUGGCUGGAAUGAAGUUCCUGACCCUGGUGAUGAUUUUGGAAAAGCAAAGAGACAUUCUGAUGCCACCUUGUAUUGAGCCUGCAAUACUCCAAAAUGAUUUUGUUGUAUUCAUAAUUUUCUAUCAAAUAAUCUUUUAGUUUAAUUUUCAAAUUUAAGCUUAGUGAAUUUUUAUUAUUCUUAACCAUAAGUGUAAAAGCCGCUGGCAUAUGUGUUAUUCCCCUUUGAAUUUUAUUCUUUUUGUUUUUUUAUGAAACCCAGAUCUGUCUCAACAUUAGAUUAAAAUAAUUUUGUAAUGAUACUAUUUCUUCUUUUUUUGUUUUGUGUCAAUAUCAGCAAUGUUUUCCAAUGGUUUUCCAUCAAACCUUUCCAAACUUUUGCAAAGAAUUCUUCUAAAAAAAAUUCCUUCAACUUUAAUGCGAUGAUUUCCAAUGUUCAAAGAGUUCCAUGGACUUUCAACUGCAUUUUCACAGGGCUGCUCCCAUGGGUAUGUGAGUUUAAAUUUAAAUUAAUUUUCAGAUUUUUUUUUUCAUGCCGUUUUUCCAAACUUUUCCAUGGAACAUGUACAGACGGGUGUUUUUGUGACAUAAACACUUUCUAGUUUUAGUUUAUGUUUGGGAUCAUGCAAGAUAUCUGGACAGUUUUUUUAAUUCAAAAU
rnacentral:lncRNA from 1 species